CAUGGUAUAUUCCUCCACUUAUAUUAGGUGUGUUCAGAUUAUUGUUUGAACACGAUUUUUAUUAUAAGAUACAUUCUGUUGUACAUGGCAUCUCAUCAAGGUGGACGUACUUGUUUUUAAGGCUUUGUUGAACCUCUUUUAGAGUGAAAAAAUUCCAUCAUUUUAAUGUAGAUGCUAUGUUUCCAGUUGUAUAUAGCUGUCAUGCUCUCAAAAUCCCAUAAUUUUUCUUUCUUUAAUUGUUUAUCUUGGAGAUAACAUGGAUGGUGAGAAAUUGAGGUACACUUAACCUUACUAUGUGCACAUAAAUGCAUUAAUAUAUGCAUGCGUGUCCUUUGUUGUUGUAAUUGUUAUUCUUGUAGGUAUAGUAUGGAUCUCCUCAAAUUCAAAGAAAUUGUUGGUAUUCAACAAAUUCUUAUGCAGUACCUCAAGAAUAAAAAACCUGGAAAGACCUUUUUUCUCGUUAUUCACACUAUACUGAUCAAAAUACAGUUGGGUCCUAUGUGGUCUUCUUUAAGUGAAACGGUUUUUAUUAUUUGAAUAACUUGUGAUAACAUAAUUUCUUAAGUUUUCUCAUUUCUUUGGUGUCUUCCUUUUUGGAUCCAUAUACAAGGAUAAUUACCUCUUGUUGGUGGUGAUUAUAACUUUUCAGGGAGGAGUUUGAUGGUAAGCUGAAGGGGAUCUUGGGCUACAUUGAGGAUGACGUGGUGUCCACCAACUUUCUUUUGGAGUCUAGGUUUUCAUAGAACAAUUUAUGUUAAACCCUUAUGCUACUUGCAGGAACGCUUUGAUUUGUUUGGGUUUGGUCCAAAUUAUAGGGUUUUUAGACACAACCAUGUCUAAAUCACUUAAUUUGUGGCCAUUACAAUGCAGUUGUGGUCAUAGUUUGGGAGCUAGGGUUUGGAAGAGGAGAAAUGGAAGGAGAAGUAAUAUUUAAGGAUAUAAGGAGAUAUUACUGUGAUAUCUGUGGAAUUUGCAGGUCUAAGAAGUCUCUGAUAAGAUCUCAUAUGCUUUCUGAACACAAGGAUGAAGUUAAUGAGGUUGAAAAAGAUGAAGAGGAAAUCCUGGAAAAUAAAAGAAUGAAGCUGGCAUGUGAUGAAUGUGGUGCCUGCUUUCGAAAGCCAGCUCAUCUUAAACAGCAUAAGCAGGGCCAUUGAUUAGAGGAUGGAUGGGUGUCUUGCUUAAAUGUUUAGCGUUAGAAGCAUUGGGAGCGGAAGACGAUGUUGAUAGCAAAGUUAUUGCGCUGGAUAACCGAACCUCUCCACAUCAUGCAGCCAUUGAAAAGGCAAAGCUCAGUUGAGAAUUUGAUUGAGAGAGGAAGGGAGAAGCGAACUAGACGAGUUGUUGCGCUGGAUAACUGAACCUCUCCACUUCAUGCAGCCAUUGAAAAGGCUCAAGCAGUGCUCAGGCAGGAAUUUAAUGCGAGAUAGGAAAGGAGAAGUGAACUAGAGUUUCUUGAGAAGGGAGGCAAUCCCUCUUCUUCCUAUUCCUCAAAAUCUUCUUCAUCGGCCUUUGUGGACUCUAGCUUUGCGAACGCAAUCAACCAAGCCCAAGGCAAUCCUCACGAGAUCCUUUAAGCGAUGGGCUUCCUGAUCAAUGGCCUACAUGAAGCCCUUGAGAUAACGACUCAAGAUGCCAGUAUAAGUCGAAGAAUGCCAAAGGUGGUAGAGCUGGGAUUUACCCUAGCAGCACUUGCUCAUGUUUGACACAAUGCCAUGUUGGUUGAAAAGAACAAUAAGUUACGUCAGCUGUG